CAAGCUGUUUAACAUGUCGUGCGUCAAUAUUUGCAACUUACUUCUGAAAGUUUUCCUGCUUGGCUUGAUGUCAUCGGCGAUCUGCCACGGACAGGAGGCCAUCUCCAUGGACGAACAUUUCAGGAAAAUGUUUCCGGGCGGAAAAAGAUGCACCCAAAAACACUGAAUUACCUCCGUCAUCUGGUUGUUCAUAAUUUCAAUGUUUCACAUUGCCAUGAUGUGAUCAUGCGAAUAAAGUAAACUCAUAAAAUUGGA